GACGUCGUGCCCGAGUGGUUAAGGGGAGUGAUUAGAAAUCACUUACGUUCUGCGUGCGCAAGUUCGAGUCUUGUCGACGUCG